CAAGUCGAACGGUAACAGGGAUUGCUUGCAAUCCGCUGACAGUGGCGCACGGGUGCGUAACGCGUAUACAAUCUACCUUUUACAGUGGGAUAGCCUUUAGAAAUGAAGAUUAAUACCGCAUAGUAUAUAGAGUCGGCAUCGAUUUUAUAUUAAAGAUUUAUCGGUAAAAGAUGAGUAUGCGUUCUAUUAGCUAGUAGGUAAGGUAACGGCUUACCUAGGCAACGAUAGAUAGGGGCCCUGAGAGGGGGAUCCCCCACACUGGUACUGAGACACGGACCAGACUCCUACGGGAGGCAGCAGUGAGGAAUAUUGGACAAUGGGCGCAAGCCUGAUCCAGCCAUGCCGCGUGCAGGAAGACUGCCCUAUGGGUUGUAAACUGCUUUUAUACGGGAAGAAACACCCCCUCGUGAGGGGGCUUGACGGUACCGUAAGAAUAAGGAUCGGCUAACUCCGUGCCAGCAGCCGCGGUAAUACGGAGGACCCAAGCGUUAUCCGGAAUCAUUGGGUUUAAAGGGUCCGUAGGUGGAUUGGUAAGUCAGAGUGAAAGCCUGCAGCUCAACUGUAGAACUGCCUUUGAUACUGCUAGUCUUGAGUCGUUGUGAAGUGGUUAGAAUAUGUAGUGUAGCGGUGAAAUGCAUAGAUAUUACAUAGAAUACC
rnacentral:rRNA from 1 species